rnacentral:rRNA from 1 species
AACGAACGCUGGCGGCAGGCUUAACACAUGCAAGUCGAGCGCCCCGCAAGGGGAGCGGCAGACGGGUGAGUAACGCGUGGGAAUCUACCCAUCUCUAUGGAAUAACGCAUGGAAACGUGUGCUAAUACCGUAUACGUCCUUCUGGAGAAAGAUUUAUCGGAGAUGGAUGAGCCCGCGUUGGAUUAGCUAGUUGGUGGGGUAAAGGCCUACCAAGGCGACGAUCCAUAGCUGGUCUGAGAGGAUGAUCAGCCACACUGGGACUGAGACACGGCCCAGACUCCUACGGGAGGCAGCAGUGGAGAAUAUUGGACAAUGGGCGAAAGCCUGAUCCAGCCAUGCCGCGUGAGUGAUGAAGGCCCUAGGGUUGUAAAGCUCUUUCACCGGUGAAGAUAAUGACGGUAACCGGAGAAGAAGCCCCGGCUAACUUCGUGCCAGCCGCCGCAGUAACAC